rnacentral:lncRNA from 1 species
CUGGUUUUAAAUUUUUGUUUCUAUAAGAUACUUAAGUCAGAUCUAUCUGCCAAUUAGGGUGCAAUUCAAAAUCUUCAUUACCGAUCUAGGGUUUUGAUUCAGAGUGGGGUACCGCCAGGUGAUGCUUUGAAGCUCAAAGGAAUAUGAUUCAGUGACAAUUCUCUCUGUCAAUUAACAACACAUCUCGCACAUAUUUGAUAAGAGAAUGAGUGUGUUUGAUUUACUCUGUCAUUGUGGAGAUAGCAAUGGAGGAUGGGAAGGCCGAGGAGAACAGGGAAGAGAUGCUAAGAGGGAGCUGGGUAAUUUUUUUCCAAUAACUCCAUUACGCAAGCAGACUUAAUAAAAAAAACCCCUAACUAAUGUUCAUCCGUUUUCCACCAUCGGUACCUACAUCAACAUCAUGAAGCCCAAUACCAAGAAAAAUGAAAAGGAAAUCUGCAUCAUAGAUCUGCGUGCAUCAUAGAUCUCACUACUAACCGUCUCUAGUUUGUACUCCUAAAGUCGGUCACGCAAAGAUAUGUUUCAUCUUCUUCUUUCUCUCACUGUUUAUUUGUUGUAUGAAGAAGGAAAUUGUUGAUUGAUUUAGGUCUUGGUAUGAAGAAAGAAGAUUGUGGUGGGAUGGAUGUGGG